rnacentral:rRNA from 1 species
CCUACGGGGGGCUGCAGUGGGGAAUAUUGCACAAUGGGCGCAAGCCUGAUGCAGCCAUGCCGCGUGUGUGAAGAAGGCCUUCGGGUUGUAAAGCACUUUCAGCGGGGAGGAAGGCGGUGAGGUUAAUAACCUCAUCGAUUGACGUUACCCGCAGAAGAAGCACCGGCUAACUCCGUGCCAGCAGCCGCGGUAAUACGGAGGGUGCAAGCGUUAAUCGGAAUUACUGGGCGUAAAGCGCACGCAGGCGGUCUGUCAAGUCGGAUGUGAAAUCCCCGGGCUCAACCUGGGAACUGCAUUCGAAACUGGCAGGCUAGAGUCUUGAAGAGGGGGGUAGAAUUCCAGGUGUAGCGGUGAAAUGCGUAGAGAUCUGGAGGAAUACCGGUGGCGAAGGCGACCCCCUGGACAAAGACUGACGCUCAGGUGCGAAAGCGUGGGGAGCAAACAGGAUUAGAUACCCGGGUAGUC